GACGAACGCUGGCGGCGUGCCUAAUACAUGCAAGUAGAACGCUGAAGGAGGAGCUUGCUUCUCUGGAUGAGUUGCGAACGGGUGAGUAACGCGUAGGUAACCUGCCUGGUAGCGGGGGAUAACUAUUGGAAACGAUAGCUAAUACCGCAUAAUAGCAGUUGUUGCAUGACAACUGUUUGAAAGGUGCAAUUGCACCACUACCAGAUGGACCUGCGUUGUAUUAGCUAGUUGGUGGGGUAACGGCUCACCAAGGCGACGAUACAUAGCCGACCUGAGAGGGUGAUCGGCCACACUGGGACUGAGACACGGCCCAGACUCCUACGGGAGGCAGCAGUAGGGAAUCUUCGGCAAUGGACGGAAGUCUGACCGAGCAACGCCGCGUGAGUGAAGAAGGUUUUCGGAUCGUAAAGCUCUGUUGUAAGAGAAGAACGAGGGUGAGAGUGGAAAGUUCACACUGUGACGGUAUCUUACCAGAAAGGGACGGCUAACUACGUG
rnacentral:rRNA from 1 species